rnacentral:rRNA from 1 species
UUCCAGACUCCUACGGGAGGCAGCAGUGGGGGAUAUUGCACAAUGGGGGAAACCCUGAUGCAGCGACGCCGCGUGUGGGAAGACGGUCCUCUGGAUUGUAAAACACUGUCCCCAGGGACGAAGAUGACGGUACCUGGGGAGGAAGCUCCGGCUAACUACGUGCCAGCAGCCGCGGUAAUACGUAGGUGGCGAGCGUUAUCCGGAAUGAUUGGGCGUAAAGGGUGCGCAGGCGGUCCUGCAAGUCUGGAGUGAAACGCAUGAGCUCAACUCAUGCAUGGCUUUGGAAACUGGAGGACUGGAGAGCAGGAGAGGGCGGUGGAACUCCAUGUGUAGCGGUAAAAUGCGUAGAUAUAUGGAAGAACACCAGUGGCGAAGGCGGCCGCCUGGCCUGUUGCUGACGCUGAGGCACGAAAGCGUGGGGAGCAAAUAGGAUUAGAUACCCGAGUAGAC